rnacentral:rRNA from 1 species
GAUGAACGCUGGCGGCGUGCCUAAUACAUGCAAGUCGAGCGAACGGACGAGAAGCUUGCUUCUCUGAUGUUAGCGGCGGACGGGUGAGUAACACGUGGAUAACCUACCUAUAAGACUGGGAUAACUUCGGGAAACCGGAUCUAAUACCGGAUGAUAUUUUGAACCGCAUGGUUCAAAAGUGAAAGACGGUCUUGCUGUCACUUAUAGAUGGAUCCGCGCUGCAUUAGCUAGUUGGUAAGGUAACGGCUUACCAAGGCAACGAUGCAUAGCCGACCUGAGAGGGUGAUCGGCCACACUGGAACGGAGCCACGGUCCAGACUCCUACGGGAGGCAGCAGUAGGGAAUCUUCCGCAAUGGGCGAAAGCCUGACGGAGCAACGCCGCGUGAGUGAUGAAGGUCUUCGGAUCGUAAAACUCUGUUAUUAGGGAAGAACAUAUGUGUAAGUAACUGUGCACAUCUUGACGGUACCUAAUCAGAAAGCCACGGCUAACUACGUG